GCUCAUAUUACUCCAAUUUUGAAACAGGGUAAAAGUCCAGAUGAUGUGAGUAAUUAUCGUCCUAUCUCUCUGGUUAAUGUUGAUAUGAAACUUUAUGCCGCAAUCUUAGCGGAACGUUUGAAAAUAGUUAUGCCAUCACUUAUACACAGGGACCAGAUAGGCUUUAUACAGGGAAGACAUUCCUCUAAUAACACUCGUAGGGUUCUAAAUAUUAUAGAAUGGGCUCAAGUCGAG